GUGCAGCAGCCGCGGUAAUACCGGCAGCCCAAGUGAUGGCCGCUGUUAUUGGGCCUAAAGCGUCCGUAGCUGGCCGCACAAGUCCGUCGGGAAAUCCGCCCGCUCAACGGGCGGCCGUCCGGCGGAACCUGUGUGGCUUGGGACCGGGAGGCCUGAGGGGUACGAUCGGGGUAGGAGUGAAAUCCCAUAAUCCCGCACGGACCACCGAUGGCGAAAGCACUUCGAGAAAACGGAUCCGACAGUGAGGGACGAAAGCCAGGGUCUCCAACCGGAUUAGAUACCCGAGUAGUCC
rnacentral:rRNA from 1 species